UACGGAGGGUGCAAGCGUUAUCCGGAUUCACUGGGUUUAAAGGGUGCGUAGGCGGGCAGGUAAGUCAGUGGUGAAAUCUGUGGGCUUAACCCACAAACUGCCGUUGAUACUAUCUGUCUUGAAUCCCGUGGAGGUGAGCGGAAUAUGUCAUGUAGCGGUGAAAUGCUUAGAUAUGACAUAGAACACCAAUUGCGAAGGCAGCUUGCUACGCGGGUAUUGACGCUGAGGCACGAAAGCGUGGGGAUCAAACAGG
rnacentral:rRNA from 1 species